CCUACGGGAGGCAGCAGUGGGGAAUAUUGGGCAAUGGGCGCAAGCCUGACCCAGCAACGCCGCGUGAAGGAAGAAGGCUCUCUGGUUGUAAACUUCUUUUCUGAGGGGCGUAGAAAGUGACGGUACCUCAGGAAUAAGCCACGGCUAACUACGGGCCAGCAGCCGCGGUAAUACGUAGGUGGCAAGCGUUAUCCGGAUUUAUUGGGUGUAAAGGGCGUGUAGGCGGGAAAGCAAGUGAGCUGUGAAAACUCAGGGCUCAACCCUGAGCCUGCAUUUGAAACUGUUUUUCUUGAGUGCUGGAGAGGCAAUCGGAAUUCCGUGUGUAGCGGUGAAAUGCGUAGAUAUACGGAGGAACACCAGUGGCGAAGGCAGAUUGCUGGACAGUAACUGACGCUGAGGCGCGAAAGCGUGGGGAGCGAACAGGAUUAGAUACCCCAGUAGUC
rnacentral:rRNA from 1 species